UGGAAGCCACCCAGAGUGUCUGGGGCAACCCAGUCAGAUGGACGAGGUACAAAUACUACUACUACUACUACUACUACUACUAAAUUAUUUAUACCCCACCCAUCUGGCUGGGUUUCCCCAGCCAUUCUGGGCGGCUUCCA